rnacentral:rRNA from 1 species
AGUGCAUGUGGUGGAUGCCUUGGCAGUCAGAGGCGAAGAAAGACGUGAUAGCCUGCGAAAAGCUCCGGGGAGGCGGCAAAUAUCCUUUGAUCCGGAGAUGUCUGAAUGGGGGAACCCACUUAUCAUAAGAUAGGUAUUACACACUGAAUACAUAGGUGUGUAAGGCGAACGAGGGGAAGUGAAACAUCUCAGUACCCUUAGGAAAAGAAAUCAAUUGAGAUUCCGUUAGUAGCGGCGAGCGAAUGCGGAAGAGCCCAUUAAGUUCGUUAUGUUUUAGUGGAAUGCUUUGGGAAGAGCAACCAUAGUAGGUGAUAGUCCUGUACACGAAAGGGCAUAACGAAUGAAUUGAGUAAGGCGAGGCACGUGAAACCUUGUCUGAAUCCAAGGCUAAAUACUCCUGACUGACCGAUAGUGAACCAGUACCGUGAGGGAAAGGCGAAAAGAACCCCUGUGAGGGGAGUGAAAUAGAUCCUGAAACCGCAUGCAUACAAGCAGUAGGAGCAUACAUUGUUAUGUGACUGCGUACCUUUUGUAUAAUGGGUCAGCGACUUAUAUUCAGUAGCGAGGUUAACCGCAUAGGGGAGCCGUAGAGAAAUCGAGUCUUAAUAGGGCGUAUAGUUGCUGGGUAUAGACCCGAAACCGGGUGAUCUAUCCAUGAGCAGGUUGAAGGUUGGGUAACACUAACUGGAGGACCGAACCCACUGUCGUUGAAAAGCCAGGGGAUGACUUGUGGAUAGGGGUGAAAGGCUAAUCAAACUCGGUGAUAGCUGGUUCUCCCCGAAAGCUAUUUAGGUAGCGCCUCGGACGAAUACCAUAUGGGGUAGAGCACUGUUUCGGCUAGGGGGUCAUCCCGACUUACCAAACCGAUGCAAACUCCGAAUACAUAUGAGUACUAUCCGGGAGACAGACUGCGGGUGCUAACGUCCGUAGUCAAGAGGAAAACAAUCCAGACCGCCAGCUAAGGCCCCAAAAUCAUAGUUAAGUGGGAAACGAUGUGGGAAGGCAUAGACAGCUAGGAGGUUGGCUUAGAAGCAGCCACCCUUUAAAGAAAGCGUAAUAGCUCACUAGUCGAGUCGGCCUGCGCGGAAGAUGUAACGGGGCUAAAACUAUGUGCCGAAGCUGCGGAUUUACGCUUAUGCGUAAGUGGUAGGGGAGCGUUCUGUAAGCCGAAGAAGGUGUGUUGAGAAGCAUGCUGGAGGUAUCAGAAGUGCGAAUGCUGACGUGAGUAACGACAAAACGGGUGAAAAACCCGUUCGCUGAAAGACCAAGGGUUCCAGUCCAACGUUAAUCGGGGCUGGGUGAGUCGACCCCUAAGGCGAGGCCGAGAGGCGUAGUCGAUGGGAAAUUGGUUAAUAUUCCAAUACUUCUGUUUAAUGCGAUGAGAGGACGGAGAAGGUUAAGUCAGCCUGGCGUUGGUUGUCCAGGUGGAAGACUGUAGGUAUGUAUCUUAGGCAAAUCCGGGGUACUUUAUACUGAGAGUCGAUAGCAAGCCGUACUUGUACGGUGAAGUGGCUGAUACCCUGCUUCCAGGAAAAGUCUCUAAGCUUCAGUUAAACAGGAAUCGUACCCGAAACCGACACAGGUGGUCAGGUCGAGUAGACCAAAGCGCUUGAGAGAACUCUGCUGAAGGAACUAGGCAAAAUGGUACCGUAACUUCGGGAGAAGGUACGCUGCUUUUGGUGAUGGAACUUGCUUCCUGAGCUGAGAGCAGCCACAGAAACCAGGCCGCUGCAACUGUUUAUUAAAAACAUAGCACUCUGCAAACACGAAAGUGGACGUAUAGGGUGUGAUGCCUGCCCGGUGCUGGAAGGUUAAUUGAUGGGGUUAGCGUAAGCGAAGCUUUGAUCGAAGCCCCAGUAAACGGCGGCCGUAACUAUAACGGUCCUAAGGUAGCGAAAUUCCUUGUCGGGUAAGUUCCGACCUGCACGAAUGGCAUAAUGAUGGCGGCGCUGUCUCCAGCAGAGGCUCAGUGAAAUCGAAAUCGCUGUGAAGAUGCAGUGUACCCGCGGCUAGACGGAAAGACCCCGUGAACCUUUACUACAGCUUGACAUUGAACUUUGAUCUUACUUGUGUAGGAUAGGUGGGAGGCUAUGAAACAUAGACGCUAGUUUAUGUGGAGCCAUCCUUGAAAUACCACCCUGGUAAUAUUGAGGUUCUAACUCUGUCCCGUGAUCCGGGACGAGGACCAUGUCUGGUGGGUAGUUUGACUGGGGCGGUCUCCUCCUAAAGAGUAACGGAGGAGUACGAAGGUGCGCUCAGCGUGGUCGGAAAUCACGCGUAGAGUAUAAAGGCAAAAGCGCGCUUAACUGCGAG